GCAGGAGGAAACCAAAGUAGAAAGACUUACACAACGGCAAGGAGACGAUGAGGACUGCACCCAGCCACAAAGGGAAGGCAGCAGUCAAAUCCUAAAUCCUGGAGAUGUGAGGACACUAUGUACAGGCGCAGGCGCCCCUCACUUGUCAGUGACAGAAAGCUGGCAGCUCGGAGCCGCAGAAGUAGCAGGACACCGUCAGACAUUCUUCGCUCGUGUUUCUCAUGCUUGGAAGAUGUAACCGAGGCUUUCGUGCCGCACGCCCUGGUCUGGAACGUGGUGCACAGUGGCUUCCAGCCACGGAUUAUGGGCAGCUGAUUGAGAGAUUCCUGCGGCAGAGAUCCUGAGCCUAAGCUUCUGAUCAGAGGAUUAAGCCUAUUCUGGAGAAUUAAGUAUUUAAAUGUUUUACUAUUUAUAUAUUGAAGUUAUACUUCAUGUAUGGUGGCAUUAAACAGUCCCUGCAGUUGUAA